rnacentral:tRNA from 1 species
CCGUCGAUAACUCAGUUGGUAGAGCGGUGGACUGUAGAUCCAUAGGUCGCUGGUUCAACUCCGGCUCGACGGA